rnacentral:rRNA from 1 species
GGAGUUAGCCGGUGCUUCUUCUGUGAGUGAUGUCCUUCCUGCCGGCUAUUAACCCGCAGGCCUUCUUCCUCACUGAAAGUGCUUUACAACCCGAAGGCCUUCUUCACACACGCGGCAUGGCUGGAUCAGGGUUGCCCCCAUUGUCCAAUAUUCCCCACUGCUGCCUCCCGUAGGAGUCUGGGCCGUGUCUCAGUCCCAGUGUGGCUGAUCAUCCUCUCAGACCAGCUACGGAUCGUCGCCUUGGUGAGCCGUUACCUCACCAACCAGCUAAUCCGACAUAGGCUCAUCCGAUAGCGCGAGGCACGAAGGUCCCCCGCUUUCCCCCGUAGGGCGUAUGCGGUAUUAGCCUGGGUUUCCCCAGGUUAUCCCCCACUACCGGGCAGAUUCCUAUGCAUUACUCACCCGUCCGCCGCUCGCCACCAGGGAGCAAGCUCCCCGUGCUGCCGCUCGACUUGCAUGUGUUAGGCCUGCCGCCAGCGUUCAAUCUGAACCAAGAUCAAAUUCUGA